UACGUAGGAUGCAAGCGUUAUCCGGAUUUAUUGGGUUUAAAGGGUGCGUAGGCGGAUUGGUAAGUCAGUGGUGAAAUCCUACGGCUUAACUGUAGAACUGCCUCUGAUACUGCCACUCUUGAGUACAUUUGAUGUGGGCGGAAUGUGUUAUGUAGCGGUGAAAUGCUUAGAUAUGACACAGAACACCGAUUGCGAAGGCAGCUCACAAAGCUGUAACUGACGCUGAGGCACGAAAGCGUGGGGAG
rnacentral:rRNA from 1 species